UGGAUGUAAUCCUAAUGAAUAUAAGAACGUCAUGAACAAGGCUCUUUUUUCACAAGACAACCUGUAGACUGGAAUACAGAAUAAUAACUUGGUAGCUUUUGCAUGAGUUGUCUUCUAGAUGCCGUGUUCCUGCUAAGAGUCUUAUUCUGGUCCUUCUUUUGGCAGAUGGCUGGUCUGCAGAAUUUGUGGGAGAGAUGGGCGGCCAUCAUUUUGCAGGCAAAGGAACUAUUCCAUGAAUUGCCUAGCAGUGGGGCUCCAGUGGGUGAAGAACCUGGUGAGUCCAGCUUUUGAAGAGAGGAUCGGUACCCAGAGAAAAGUGGGCAUGACAACAGAGAGAUACUGUCACAGUGGAUGUUCUGGCUGCUGGAGCGAUGCAUGACGUGGCUGCAGGAAAGGAAAUUGUCAUCCCGGGUCAUUCGUAUAUUCACUGGGCAGUGAAGUGGGAUGCAGUUAGGACGGCUGUCAAUGGAUUGGGUUUGCAGGUUCCAAGAUGGCCCUGGACAGUAACCAUGCACUCAUUGUUACUCCUAUUAUUAGAUAACUCUUCUGACCAUACAAACAAACAUUGAUCCUUAUAAACUGCUCAACAAUAAAAAUAACUGC